ACAAGGAUAAAAUACUUAGGCUUUUAAGAUCAUGUUGCGGUUCUAGUUUUUAUUCUCACUCAUACACAUGACAUCUAGUCAUAUUUGACUCCACAACACUAACCAAGCUUCUUCUUGCUUCUCAAAGCUUUGAUGGUGUAGCUGAAGACCGUAUUUGU
rnacentral:sRNA from 1 species